UUCCGGUUGAUCCUGCCGGAGGCGACCGCUUUUGGAGUUCGAUUAAGCCAUGCGAGUAGAAAGAAAUUAGAUUCUUUGCGAACUGCUCAGUAACACGUGGAUAACCUGCCCUAUGCUCCGGAAUAACCUCGGGAAACUGAGAAUAAUACCGGAUAGAUCACAACGCCUGGAACGGCGUGUGGUUGAAAGAUUACGGCAUAGGAUGGGUCUGCGGCGUAUCAGGUUGUAGGGGGUGUAAAGGACCUCCUAGCCAUCGACGCGUACGGGUGUUGGGAGACAUAGCCCGGAGAUGGAUUCUGAGACACGAAUCCAGACCCUACGGGGUGCAGCAGGCGCGAAAACUUCACACUGCAGGAAACUGUGAUGAGGGAACUCCAAGUGCACGCACUUAGUGUGUGCUUUUUUCAACUAUUAAUCGGUUGAAGAAUAAGGGCUGGGAAAGACCGGUGCCAGCCGCCGCGGUAAUACCGGCAGCUCAAGUGGUCGUCGCUUUUAUUGGGCCUAAAACGUCCGUAGCCUGUUUGGUAAAUCUGUGGGUAAAUCAACCAGCUUAACUGGUUGAAUUCUGCAGAGACUGCCAGACUAGGGACCGGGAGAGGUGUGGGGUACUCUAGGGGUAGGGGUAAAAUCCUGUCAUCCUUAGAGGACCACCAGUUGCGAAGGCGCCACACUGGAACGGAUCCGACGGUCAGGGACGAAGCCUAGGGGCACGAACCGGAUUAGAUACCCGGGUAGUCCUAGGUGUAAACGCUGUGAACUUGGUGUCGGGGAUCCGUCAUGGGUCCCCGGUGCCGGAGUGAAGAUGUUAAGUUCACUGCCUGGGGAGUACGGUCGCAAGGCUGAAACUUAAAGGAAUUGGCGGGGGAGCACUGCAACGGGAGGAGCGUGCGGUUUAAUUGGAUUCAACGCCGGA
rnacentral:rRNA from 1 species